rnacentral:rRNA from 1 species
GAACGCUAGCGGCAGGCCUAAUACAUGCAAGCCGAACGGCAAGAAUUGUAGCAAUACGAUUCCUAGAGUGGCGUAAGGGUGCGUAACACGUAUGCAAUCUGCCCGCAACAGGAGGAUAGCUCGCCGAAAGGCGAAUUAACCCUCCAUGAGAUCACACGAGGGCAUCUGAGAGUGAUUAAAUCUGAGGAGGUUGCGGAUGAGCAUGCGUCUGAUUAGCUAGUUGGCAGUGUAACGGACUACCAAGGCGAUGAUCAGUAGGGGAACUGAGAGGUUGAUCCCCCACACUGGCACUGAGAUACGGGCCAGACUCCUACGGGAGGCAGCAGUAGGGAAUAUUGGACAAUGGGUGAGAGCCUGAUCCAGCCAUGCCGCGUGCAGGAAGAAGGC